rnacentral:rRNA from 1 species
UACGUAGGGUGCGAGCGUUGUCCGGAAUUAUUGGGCGUAAAGAGCUUGUAGGCGGUUUGUCGCGUCUGCUGUGAAAAUCCGGGGCGUCAACCCCGGACUUGCAGUGGGUACGGGCAGACUAGAGUGUGGUAGGGGAGACUGGAAGUUCCUGGUGUAGCGGUGAAAUGCGCAGAUAUCAGGAGGAACACCGAUGGCGAAGGCAGGUCUCUGGGCCACUACUGACGCUGAGAAGCGAAAGCAUGGGGAGCGAACAGG